rnacentral:lncRNA from 1 species
CUUGGAGUUAGGAUUGCAGCUAUGAAGUGUUUUGACACAGGCUGCUUUGGUCUCUAGGGCCAAUAAAGGGUAGACACAGUCCUGCAACAGAAACAGACAGCUUCUGCUCCCUUCCUUGUUUAUGGGGACAUCUUUAAUCUCCCUGCAUCAUAUCAGAUUAAAUGCACCUGGGGGCCCUUCCUGGGCUAAUGGCCUUCAGCAGGUUACUCAGGAAAAGACAAGGAACCUAAAUAUGGCGAGAGUUCUGGCUUGGCCCUUAGAAGUUUCCUCUUCAUUCAGCUCGGGUGAUUCUACGCAGAAUGUGACAAAAUGAGGGGAAAAAUAGGCAAAAUCUCCAAAGAGAUCACAUGCUCUCUCAAGUAUUUUGCCAUGCUCUUCUGUAGGGAUACAUGCCCAGCAACUCCCUUCUCAUCUGUCACCCCAAGGCCAUCCACCUCAAGACACAGGUUCUCAACAUCUUUUUUUACUGUCAACCUGGAUGCCCUUUCUGGAGUUUGGAGCUGCUGGAUAUUCUGGAAAUGGUGCAGGCUGGUCAUUCACAGGAGAGGUGCAUGAACAACACCGUCCGCACUGCUUCUAGGGCAACAUUACCCCUUGUGUCAUUGCAAAUUCACAAACAGACAGUUGCUGGGCACCAAGUUUGGAAAAGGAAGUGCUUUGUCUUUCGAUUAAAAAUAUCCAAACAGCUCUGUGGAGUCAUGAUCUGAGAAACCAAAACAAGUCCUUAACUGUAGAUAAAUGAAGGUUGGCUGAUUCCAGUUUGCAGAAAGCCAGAGGAAGCCCUCUGCUCUGACCCUGCGCCCUCUGGCAUCACAGCUGGUGCACGAGCACAAAGACAACUUGGAUGUAGAUGCUGCUGUGGGCACUUUACACAGGAUAGAUUGUAAAUUUGUCCAUUUAUGAGUGUCCUGCAGGGGUUCCCACCAACUCAGAAGACAAAGCAAGGGUUGAAGCAAACAAAGCAUAUCCAUAAAAGCUCCUCUGAUUGCCACUAUUAAUAAAAUGGAG